AACAUGGCUUUUUGGAGGGAUAAAAAGUCUGGCCUGCCCACUGAGUAGUUUAAAGGGCCGCGGUAUUUUGACCGUGCAAAGGUAGCAUAAUCAUUAGUCUUCUAAUUAAAGGCUGGAAUGAAGGGUCGGACGAGGUACAAGCUGUCUCACUGAAAUGGUUUAGAAUUUAGCUUUUUAGUUAAAAGGCUGAAAUGAUGUUGGAGGACGAGAAGACCCUAUAGAUCUUUACAUUAAACUCGUUUAACUGGUUUGGUUAGUCUUUAGUUUUCUGGGGAAAAUGUUUCGUUGGGGUGACGGGAAGAUAAAAUAAACUCUUUUUAAAGUUUAACACUGAUGAGUGAUUGG
rnacentral:rRNA from 1 species